rnacentral:rRNA from 1 species
GACGAACGCUGGCGGCGUGCCUAAUACAUGCAAGUCGAACGCUUCUUUUUCCACCGGAGCUUGCUCCAYCGGAAAAAGAGGAGUGGCGAACGGGUGAGUAACACGUGGGUAACCUGCCCRUCAGAAGGGGAUAACACUUGGAAACAGGUGCUAAUACCGUAUAACAAUCGAAACCGCAUGGUUUUGAUUUGAAAGGCGCUUUCGGGUGUCGCUGAUGGAUGGACCCGCGGUGCAUUAGCUAGUUGGUGAGGUAACGGCUCACCAAGGCGACGAUGCAUAGCCGACCUGAGAGGGUGAUCGGCCACAUUGGGACUGAGACACGGCCCAAACUCCUACGGGAGGCAGCAGUAGGGAAUCUUCGGCAAUGGACGAAAGUCUGACCGAGCAACGCCGCGUGAGUGAAGAAGGUUUUCGGAUCGUAAAACUCUGUUGUUAGAGAAGAACAAGGAUGAGAGUAACUGUUCAUCCCUUGACGGUAUCUAACCAGAAAGCCACGGCUAACUACGUGCCAGCAGCCGCGGUAAUACGUAGGUGGCAAGCGUUGUCCGGAUUUAUUGGGCGUAAAGCGAGCGCAGGCGGUUUCUUAAGUCUGAUGUGAAAGCCCCCGGCUCAACCGGGGAGGGUCAUUGGAAACUGGGAGACUUGAGUGCAGAAGAGGAGAGUGGAAUUCCAUGUGUAGCGGUGAAAUGCGUAGAUAUAUGGAGGAACACCAGUGGCGAAGGCGGCUCUCUGGUCUGUAACUGACGCUGAGGCUCGAAAGCGUGGGGAGCAAACAGGAUUAGAUACCCUGGUAGUCCACGCCGUAAACGAUGAGUGCUAAGUGUUGGAGGGUUUCCGCCCUUCAGUGCUGCAGCUAACGCAUUAAGCACUCCGCCUGGGGAGUACGACCGCAAGGUUGAAACUCAAAGGAAUUGACGGGGGCCCGCACAAGCGGUGGAGCAUGUGGUUUAAUUCGAAGCAACGCGAAGAACCUUACCAGGUCUUGACAUCCUUUGACCACUCUAGAGAUAGAGCUUCCCCUUCGGGGGCAAAGUGACAGGUGGUGCAUGGUUGUCGUCAGCUCGUGUCGUGAGAUGUUGGGUUAAGUCCCGCAACGAGCGCAACCCUUAUUGUUAGUUGCCAUCAUUUAGUUGGGCACUCUAGCAAGACUGCCGGUGACAAACCGGAGGAAGGUGGGGAUGACGUCAAAUCAUCAUGCCCCUUAUGACCUGGGCUACACACGUGCUACAAUGGGAAGUACAACGAGUCGCAAAGUCGCGAGGCUAAGCUAAUCUCUUAAAGCUUCUCUCAGUUCGGAUUGUAGGCUGCAACUCGCCUACAUGAAGCCGGAAUCGCUAGUAAUCGCGGAUCAGCACGCCGCGGUGAAUACGUUCCCGGGCCUUGUACACACCGCCCGUCACACCACGAGAGUUUGUAACACCCGAAGUCGGUGAGGUAACCUUUUGGAGCCAGCCGCCUAAGGUGGGAUAGAUGAUUGGGGUGAAGUCGUAACAAGGUAGCCGUAUCGGAAGGUGCGGCUGGAUCACCUCCUUUCUAAGGAA